ACAUUGCCACGCUGUCCAAAGUGCUUUCACAUUUUUAGCUCCAAAUGUGCUUGGGGAUCAAACACUUAAAGAGUAUUAUUGCUUCCUGCGCACAAGGUAGCCGUGAGAAGCUGGAAGAAAUGGAGCCUGUGGUGGCAACACAGAGCAGCAGGCUAAAUCCUGAGCACUGUGCUGCAGGACGGCAGAGGCAAACAGCAGUACCAGGAAUCCAACUCAGGACCUCAAGCUUGUGCCAUUGAGCCAUACCCCAGCCUUAUGAGCGUUCUCGUACAUGUCUCCUGCACAGAAUAUGCAAAAAUUCCCCUGGGGCAGAGUUACUCAAAGUGUGGUCUACAGAUCUGCUGACGGCGCCCAAACCAUUACCAUGAUAUAAAAAACUAGGGAGCUAGAAUUAAGAGGUGUAAAUUAAUGCAAAAACACCCCUUUUAAUGUAAUAAACAAAAUUGGGGGAUCUGUUUUAUUGAAGAUCCAAUUAACCGGAACACUCCACGAAAUUAAUGUCCUAGAUAAUUGAAUCUCUUCAUUAAGAAGGACAGAUUGAAACCCUCAUCAGGAUACAGAGUCACAGAACACCAGGAAUGGAGGAGACCUUGGAAUUCAUUGCAGUAACUCCCUCGCUGUUCUGUGGGCAGAGCUGUGGCCAGGGGAAGAGGCUGGCCCUGCGCUCUGGAGUCAGUUGGGGUACAAACCAAGACCCAGGCCCACAAAUCGCCUGCUUGAAUCUCCUGUGCUACGGGAACGAAUCUUCAGAAGCCAGUCAUAACCCUUGGGUGUGCUUCUUAAAAUAAAAGCUUCAUUUUCA